UACGUAGGGUGCAAGCGUUGUCCGGAAUUAUUGGGCGUAAAGAGCUCGUAGGCGGUUUGUCGCGUCUGCUGUGAAAACUCGGGGCUUAACCCCGGGCCUGCAGUGGGUACGGGCAGACUAGAGUGCGGUAGGGGAGACUGGAAUUCCUGGUGUAGCGGUGAAAUGCGCAGAUAUCAGGAGGAACACCGAUGGCGAAGGCAGGUCUCUGGGCCGAUACUGACGCUGAGGAGCGAAAGCGUGGGGAGCGAACAGG
rnacentral:rRNA from 1 species